rnacentral:rRNA from 1 species
ACGGGGGGGGCAAGCGUUGUUCGGAAUUACUGGGCGUAAAGGGCGCGUAGGCGGCCUGCUAAGUCACACGUGAAAUCCCUCGGCUCAACCGGGGAACUGCGUGUGAUACUGGCGGGCUUGAAUUCGGGAGAGGGUAGCGGAAUUCCCAGUGUAGCGGUGAAAUGCGUAGAUAUUGGGAGGAACACCGGUGGCGAAGGCGGCUACCUGGACCGGUUCUGACGCUGAUGCGCGAAAGCGUGGGUAGCAAACAGGA